AUGGCCACAUCUCGUUUAAACACCGGUUCUUGUACAAUCACCAAAGUUAAGCAACUUCAAGCUUGGCCAGUACCUAGAUGGAUGACCGUUUGGAAAUACCAGGUGCUGUAAG